rnacentral:rRNA from 1 species
GAUGAACGCUAGCGGCAGGCCUAAUACAUGCAAGUCGAACGGGAUCUGAGGGUAGCUUGCUACCCGAUUUGAGAGUGGCGCACGGGUGCGUAACGCGUGAGCAACCUACCCAUAUCAGGGGGAUAGCCCGAAGAAAUUCGGAUUAACACCGCAUAAUAAUACGCUAGCACAUGUUGAUGUAUUUAAAUAUUUAUAGGAUAUGGAUGGGCUCGCGUGACAUUAGCUAGUUGGUAAGGUAACGGCUUACCAAGGCGACGAUGUCUAGGGGCUCUGAGAGGAGAAUCCCCAACACUGGUACUGAGACACGGACCAGACUCCUACGGGAGGCAGCAGUAAGGAAUAUUGGUCAAUGGGCGCAAGCCUGAACCAGCCAUGCCGCGUGCAGGAUGACUGCCCUAUGGGUUGUAAACUGCUUUUGUUAGGGAAUAAACCUUCUUACGUGUAAGGAGCUGAAUGUACCUAAAGAAUAAGGAUCGGCUAACUCCGUGCCAGCCGCCGCCGUAA